GACCGCGCAGCUCAGUUGGCAGAGCAUUGGGCUAGUUAGUAUUCCAAAGGUCGUAGGUUCGAUUCCCACCGUGGACA
rnacentral:tRNA from 1 species